UGCAGUUUGUUGAGUAAACACUUCUGUCAUACAGCUCUUGGGUGACGCCUUCCCUGCAGGUGAGGCAGCCGGUCACUCUCCCAAGGGCACAGCUGGUGGCCUGGACAGCAAGGAGAGUCGUGGAUUCUCUGCCAGUCUUAACUGACUGGUUGGCCAAAGAAGAGAUUUAUUUAAUCCCCAUGAAGCCACCUUCUCUUGGCUGGAAUCAGAUGUGCUUUCUGAAUUUAAGACUGACUCAGAUUUAAAUAAGAAGCCGAUCUGCCCUUCCGACUGAAGAGCCAGCACGGUGGUGUGAGGAUGACUCAGCGUCUGGAAGAGCAUGGAGAGGACCGGCCCCAG
rnacentral:lncRNA from 1 species